UGUAAGAAAGACAAAGGGUUAGUCAUUGGGUUCAUGCCCCAAAUAAGUGAGUUCGAAUCUCUCUCUUACAC
rnacentral:tRNA from 3 species